rnacentral:rRNA from 1 species
GUGCCGCCGUGCCGCCUUCGGAGUGGAGGGGGUCUAGGAUCUGCCAGUAGUGGUUUGAGGAGUCGGCUUCCCUUCCCUCCUGCCUCCCCUUCUAGUGGACGCUUAACUCUAGCGCUUGAGCCGCCGCAACGGACGUCGCCGCCCCGUCGCCGGUUCGCCCCGUCCUACCGCCGCCGCGACCGCGGCCCCCACAGGGCCUUCGACUUCUUCCACGAGCUCUGCGCCUGCCUGUCGGGUCUAGACGACCGGAGCGACCCGCGCGAGAGGUGGAAGAUGCUCGUGUUGUGGGGCGUCCGCGCGGCGUUGGAGUUCAGGAGGCAGCUCGUCGCGCGCGAGCGGUAGUUGGCGGUGAAGGAGCUGCGGAGGGAGGGGCGGGUCUUCCGCAACCUAGCGCAGCUCCCCCUUCACGUGCGCGACCUGCUAAGGACCUUCUUCUAACUCCUUCGUAACUCGUCGACAUCACGUUCAUGUCCCCUAUAGUAGUCAUGUUGCCUCUCCAACGUUGUUCUUGAACUCCAAUAGUGAGUCGCGGUCCUUUAACAUAGUACAAAGGACGCCCUAAUGGUUGAAAGUUUACUUCUCUAUGUACGUGAGGCCCUUCUUCUAUAUCUACUCUUUAAGAAAUUCCGUGAUAACGUACAGGUUCUUUAGGUAAGCUUGACGUUCCAAGACGACGCUUGUGUGGUGGUCGCACGACCAAACCUUGAAUACCUAUACUACAGGCACAUGGUUCUUCCUCGAAUACUUUCUAAUACGUCCACCCAAGUUCAACUCACAUUUUUUGAUCCACUAUGACUAUUAGGACUUCAUUCACUUGAAAACUUCUUCCGACAAGCCACGGACUUCCUUUCCGGACAAGACAAGUUCAUGACGCGUCUUCUCCAACGGUUAUACUCCGUAGUACGGAAUAAGUCCGCCAAAUAUUCACGAGAAUGAUCUCCACCUGGGCCUCCCGAGGGUUCUGGUUAUCUUCACGUACGAGUACUAGGAGAAGCAAUACAUCCGCUAUACGACCCUACCGAUGUAGUCCGUGAACGUAGACUUUCCCUCGAAUAUCGACGCGACGAACUAGGCCUACGUUAUUCACUGUCACCAGGUCGAUUAGUAGCAGUAAGACAUUCUCUUCCACUAAGUAGGUUUCCUCUUAGACUAAAGUGAAAACAAGAGCUAUCUUAUAAACUUCCCCGUACGGCUGGCAAAUUUCAAGCUCAGCUCGUUCAAGACGUCAGUGUUGGUUCAGACUAUCAAAGAAUGUUUGAAUCAUUAUGGGACCUUAAAAUACCAAUGUGCUAUAGUCUUGACGACCCACAUCUGUGUAGUAACACGUUAUGUUAUACCAGUGAAUCUCUACGUUGUGUCGCCUGUAAGAAGUUGUAGGACUUCUCGGCACCUCUUUUCAAUAACGCUAUAGGAGGUGAACAACGCCAACUGGAGAGAGGGGGUGGUCGUCACUCCCUCCCUCAAAGAGACAACGAACUCGAGUAUUCAUGGAUGUUAUCGUACUACUAAAGACGGAGACCUUUUCCCAAUUUGAAACUAGGUCAGUAAAGACGUUAUAACCUAGGAUAUUAAGUCUACACACUCGUUCGGCGUCUCCGUGUUUUCAGUUUUCCACGUGAACGUGCCGCACCAUCUUGAUCAAGACUUGGAUAGCCUUCAUUCUAUCUAAGUUAGAGUCAACUACGAUAAGAUAGUUUCUUUAGUAGUUGUAGACAGGACUCACCACUUAGAAGCAGGUUUCAAAUGGAGUAGUUGACGAAUAGUCGAUAACUCCUUGGUAACUACCUAGUCCUCCAACGAUGUUCGAUACACUUUUUGGAAGCGAGAUACUAGCUUUGUGUGUGCGCACGGAACCAUCUAUUUCUUCGACUAUCGUAAGAGUCAUUCACACCUAACAGUUCAUUCUACGGUAUGUACUUCUUGAUGUCGAGAUGACUGCCGCUCCUACUACGUUCUGGAGACCGUCUACAACACCUCUGUAGUGGUGUUUACGAAGACCUCACGAACUUUCGAAAGAUACCAUAACACUGACCUUGUCUUCCGAGGAACGGCCUUAAGCUCGUCGACGUCCAAGGUUCCAAUGCGAGUCUGCGCACGAUACCAAACCGCUCUCGUGAUCGUCUUCGAAUGCUCGAGUAAAUGUUCCGCCACUACCUAGGUUUCUUGACAAUAGGACUGGGUUCUAGCAACCAGUUCGUAAGCGGCCUCGUCUAUUCUUGAUAUGACCUUUAGACUCCAGGUAUGUGGUAUGGAAAACCAUGUACAUUACUCUCCUCUAAGUACAAGUCUUAGUGUGACUACAUAUAAAGGACGAUUUUAGGCUCCAAACGAACAAAUAUUUUUUGGUGUGCUCAGUAACAGCCUAAUUACUAUGGUCACCAUAUGGUCUCUUCUUUUUGUAAGGCCAUGGCUUAACAUAUAAACC